AAAGGACAUCACUCUGAUGCGAUUAUGGUGGUCGUUUGGUUGCGCGUGUGUGUAUGUAUAUAUAUAUAUAUUAUAUAUGUGAGAAUUUGUAAAAUUUUGUUCUUCUCCCGAGUUUUGUUGUAGGGACAAAUUCCGUCGAUCAAAGUCGGUGAUCGGAAAACCAACAGAGCUGCGAAUUGAGGUGGUGAGAGAGAGGCAUGGCGCAGCCAAGCAAAGAACCCUGCAAAAAGGAGGCUUGCGAUAUUCAAUCAUUGUCUCUCCAAGAACAAUUUUCUUCCUCAAAGGUGCCGGAAAGUGAUAGAAAUGUUGCAGGCUUGUUGCGAGAGAUGCAAGUACGAGUCCACACACUGUGUUCUUCCGGCCGUACAUGACUUUGACCAAAGCUGAAGGCUUUUUCACACGGAGACUUGAUGAUAUUGAAGUGAAAAUAUAUCUUGAUUGGUUCAUGCUCUUUAGGGUUAUGGGUUGAGUUUGAAUCUGUAAGUAUUUUUUUUUUCCUGUGUGGGAAUUAUUUAUUGGUGAUUUUGAUGUAAUAACGAGAAGUAAAGUCCAAUGUUGUCUUGUAGCUUGAGAUGUAACUAUCACCCAUUAUUAUAAUUAUAUGAAUUUUGAUACAA